GUAGGGAAUAUUGGACAAUGGGGGCAACCCUGAUCCAGCGACGCCGCGUGAGUGAUGAAGGCCUUCGGGUCGUAAAGCUCUGUUGCAGGGGAAGAACACAAUGACGGUACCCUGCUAGAAAGGAUCGGCUAACUUCGUGCCAGCAGCCGCGGUAAGACGAGGGAUCCUAGCGUGGUUCGGAAUUAUUGGGCGUAAAGCGGGUGCAGGUGGCUUGGUAAGUCAGAUGUGAAAGCCUGGGGCUUAACCACAGAAGUGCAUUUGAUACUGCUGAGCUUGAGUGCUGGAGAGUCUAUUAGAAUUCCUGGUGUAGUGGUGAAAUACGUAGAUAUCAGGAGGAAUACCGGAGGCGAAGGCGGAUAGCUGGCCAGACACUGACACUCAGACCCGAAAGCGUGGGGAUCAAACAGGAUUAGAUACCCUAGUAGUCC
rnacentral:rRNA from 1 species